rnacentral:rRNA from 1 species
AUUGAACGCUGGCGGCAGGCCUAACACAUGCAAGUCGAACGAGUGGCGGACGGGUGAGUAAUGUCUGGGAAACUGCCUGAUGGAGGGGGAUAACUACCUGAAACGGUAGCUAAUACCGCAUACCAUCAGAUGUGCCCAGAUGGGAUUAGCUUGUUGGUGGGGUAACGGCACACCAAGGCGACGAUCCCUAGCUGGUCUGAGAGGAUGACAAGCCACACUGGAACUUCGACACGGUCGAGACUCCUACGGGAGGCAGCAGUGGUGAAUAUGGCGAAAUGGGCGCCAGCCUGAUGCAGCCAUGACGCGUGUAUGAAGAAGGCCUUCGGGUUGUAAAGUACAUGCAGCGGGGAGACGUUACCCGCAGAAGAGGCACCGGCUAACUCCGUGCCAGCGGCCGCGGUGAUUC